GCGGAAAUGCUGGAAUUGGCAGACAGGCAUGACUAAGGAUCAUGUGGUGCUACACCGUGAGGGUUCAAGUCCCUUUUUCCGCA
rnacentral:tRNA from 1 species